UACGGAGGGUGCGAGCGUUAAUCGGAAUUACUGGGCGUAAAGCGCACGUAGGCGGUUUGUUAAGUUAGCUGUGAAAGCCCCGGGCUUAACCUGGGAAAGGCAGUUGAGACUGGCAGGCUAGAGUACAAGAGAGGUGAGUGGAAUUUCCGGUGUAGCGGUGAAAUGCGUAGAGAUCGGAAGGAACAUCAGUGGCGAAGGCGGCUCACUGGCUUGAUACUGACGCUGAGGUGCGAAGGCAUGGGUAGCGAACAGG
rnacentral:misc_RNA from 1 species